AGGGGUAUUUUUGUCCUUUCAUGAGUUACAGUACUCGGAUUGGACUGAAAUUUUGCAAGCAUCUAUAAAACAUCAUUCUCUACAACUUUUAUGUUUUGUACUAAGUUUAAUUCAGCCUCUAUCAUGGUGAACUAAAACCAGGCAGAACAGGGCACUAAGGAUUUUCACUUCUGGAAUUUUGUUACACUCAAGAUAUAAUUCACAUUUCCAGCUCAAAACCAUCACUACUACCUCAUAGACAAGCUUGUAUACAUCAUAUACCAUCCACACAAUAAGAAAUAGGGUUGAACAAUACAAAAUCCUACCUUACUAAUGCACCCAAAAUCAUCACAACUACUUGAAUAGCUACCAAUUUAAU
rnacentral:lncRNA from 1 species